UCCUACGGGAGGCAGCAGUGGGGAAUCUUAGACAAUGGGGGCAACCCUGAUCUAGCCAUGCCGCGUGAGUGAUGAAGGCCUUAGGGUCGUAAAGCUCUUUCGCCUGUGAUGAUAAUGACAGUAGCAGGUAAAGAAACCCCGGCUAACUCCGUGCCAGCAGCCGCGGUAAUACGGAGGGGGUUAGCGUUGUUCGGAAUUACUGGGCGUAAAGCGCGCGUAGGCGGAUUAGAAAGUUGGGGGUGAAAUCCCGGGGCUCAACCCCGGAACUGCCUCCAAAACUGCUAGUCUAGAGUUCGAGAGAGGUGAGUGGAAUUCCGAGUGUAGAGGUGAAAUUCGUAGAUAUUCGGAGGAACACCAGUGGCGAAGGCGGCUCACUGGCUCGAUACUGACGCUGAGGUGCGAAAGUGUGGGGAGCAAACAGGAUUAGAUACCCUGGUAGUCCACACCGUAAACGAUGAAUGCCAGUCGA
rnacentral:rRNA from 1 species